GUACCGAUGUAUCCUGGGUAUGCUGAUUUUCAAGUACCAACAGCUAUAGAAUAUUACACCACGUUGCUGCCUUACUACUUAACAUUAACAUACGCAAUAUAUACGAAUAUCUACGCUGCUUCGAGGUACUGCACGGAAGUAUCAGUCUACCCCAAGUUACAUCAACAAAACGAGUACUACACUGGAGAUCUCAAAUUCUACACCACCAAAGCUACAAAGCACUACACCGAGGCUGCAGCUUAUUAAAACACCAAAGCGGUUGAGUAUCGAGGGGUGUAAGUACUACCCCUUAACCUACUGCAGAGUAGUGUUGUUAACAACUGCCAUAAUCAUUAGAAAUAUUCUCAACCAUGGAUAACCGGUGUUUUGCUACUGUUGAGGAUGGUGAUAAAGUGAUGUGGUGUUGGUGUAGUGAUGUUUCCUGGGUAUGGCGGAUAUUAACCAGCGACGUUGCUGUCUUACUACACAACAAACUUUACGACCUGUUACUACACCGGGAUUUAUUAACGGGAAAUAUUAAUGUUACACAACCACGGAUGCUAAAUCAGUGUCUACAAUCAGUGUCUACAAUCAGUGUCUACAAUCAGUGUCUACAAUCAGUGUCUACAAUCAGUGUCUACAAUCAGUGUCUACAAUCAGUGUCUACAAUCAACAAACCGAGACUUCUAUAUUACACUACCAACGCCCUCAAGUAUUACAUUACAACCUACGCUGCCCAAUACUACUAUACCGAGGCUUCGAAGUUCUACACCAUUAAGGCAUAACCAAUUCGCCAUCAUGAGUAAAUAUGCUUUAAAACUGCCUUUUUUU